rnacentral:sRNA from 1 species
UCUUCCGUUUUCCAACGGAAGACCCUUUUGUUUUUCUUCGGUUUCUUUUUAUUAAGGUCUUCCGUUUCCAACGGAAGACCUUAUUGUUUUUCUUCGGGUUUUUUUUCUCAUUCUUCUCCUUUUUUUUUCAUACCGAUUUUGUGUCAGCGAUUACUCGGAAACUCUUUGAUCGAUUUUAAUAAAAUUUUCAGAUCUUAUUGAUAUUAGUUUAAACUUGAUCGGAAAUUUUUUUUUUUGAUGACGUCAUUUCCGUUUUUGAAAUAUCGACGUUUUCUUGAUUUUCAGAGGGACGGCUUGUCCAAGAGAGUUAUGAAAAACUAUAAAAGAUAUUUAGUUCAAAUUUUCAGGAAUGAUAGACAAAAGAUUGUAGAUAUGUAAUAAGUCAUUAAUCACUUUCAGGCACAAAAGGCGCUAAAGCUCGGUAGGGCUCGAUAAAUGAGAUUAAAAAAGUGUUGUGAUUUUGCCUGGUUUUCUUAGAUUAUCUUUUUUCUCACAAAUAUUUUGUUAAGACAUGUAGAAGAAAAAAAAUUUAUAUUUACAAGAUCUUUUGUUUGACACCUAGAAAAAGGGGCUGGCCCCUCAAAUUAAGGGCCUAGAACCCUUCAAAGUUUUCACUUUAUAACUCAAAAUUGGUUAAGAUUUUAAUAUGGCUGUCGUUGCAAAAGUUGUUCAUUAUGGUCUUAUUAAUGUCGUAACAAUAAUAUUUUGUUCGGGUAUUGCGUAAUAUGAGUGUAAAAAGCCAGACUUGUUACCAUGUAUUUGUGUUUUAUUUGGCAAAUAAACGGGGUAUUUGUGCGUAUAACUGACAUAAAGGAUACUCGUUUAUAUACGGAAAGUGUUUAAACAUUUUAGUUAUUUUCUAGUGAAACACAUUACGGAUGAAAGAACUGUUUCUAUGCAAUUCAUUUGAGUCGCAUUUAAAAUCUAGCUGUAUUCCGAGCUGUGUAUGUGAACAGUUACGUAUCCACCCUUGCCCGCAGCCGAUGAAAUAGGUCACGACUGGACUAGCGAGCGGGUCUGCCGUUAUCAAAUACACAAGAUUUGCGUCUUGCUGUAAUGCACACAUGGAUUUUUAUAUGUAGCUGCAAACACAAAACUUCCGAUAUUAGUGAUUUUAAUAGUAAAUAAAAAAAGAUUAUACCUUUACCUACUACCAUAGACAGUGUACUAGCUUGCAUUCGGAAAGUGUUGAAACAGUGUAAUUCUUUUCUAGGGAAACACAUUGUGGGUAAAAGAAUUACUUCUAUGCAAUGUAUUUGAGUCGCAUUUAAAAUCUAGCUGUAUUCCGAGCUUCAUGUAUGUAAACAAUUAUACGUAUCCGAUCCUUGCCGGCGGCCGAGGAAAUGGGUCGCGGCUGGACUAGCGAGCGGUCUACCGUUAUCCAAUACACAAGAUAUGCGCCUUGCUGUAAUACACACACGGGUUUAUUUAUUUUGCUGCAAACACAAAGAAUUCAGAUUUAAACGAUAUUAAAGAGUAAAUGGAAAAAGAUUAUACCAUUACCUACGAAGUAUUGCUGUUUUGCUCUUGUAAUAAAAAAAAAAAAUAGAUUGUAUGACUGUCAUUGAAAAAGGGGCGUUCUUUGUGAUCUUGUCUAUGUCAUGAAAUAGUUUUAUUGUUGGAAAAUAAAAUUUAGUUAUCAAACUGC